rnacentral:rRNA from 1 species
GUGUCAGCAGCCGCGGUAAGACGAACCGUGCAAACGUUGUUCGGAAUCACUGGGCUUAAAGGGCGCGUAGGCGGUCGGUCAAGUCCGGGGUGAAAUCCUGCAGCUCAACUGUAGAAGUGCCUUGGAUACUGACUGGCUCGAGGGAGGUAGGGGUCAUUGGAACUUCUGGUGGAGCGGUGAAAUGCGUUGAUAUCAGAAGGAACGCCGGUGGCGAAAGCGAAUGACUGGACCUCUUCUAACGCUGAGGCGCGAAAGCCAGGGGAGCAAACGGGAUUAGAUACCCCGGUAGUCCUGGCCCUAAACGAUGGGCACUAGAUUGUAGACUUAUCAUGGGUUUACAGUCGAAGCAAAAGUUUUAAGUGCCCCGCCUGGGGAGUAUGGUCGCAAGGCUGAA